rnacentral:rRNA from 1 species
UACGUAGGGUCCGAGCGUUGUCCGGAGUUACUGGGCGUAAAGCGCGCGCAGGCGGCAGUGCAAGUAAGGUGUGAAAUCUCCCUGCUCAACGGGGAGGGUGCACUUUAGACUGCACAGCUCGAGGUCGGUAGAGGGGGGUGGAAUUGCUGGUGUAUCGGUGAAAUGCGUAGAGAUCAGCAGGAACACCCGUGGCGAAGGCGGCCCCCUGGGCCGUACCUGACGCUGAGGCGCGAAGGCUAGGGGAGCGAACGGG